CCUACGGGAGGCAGCAGUGGGGAAUCUUGCGCAAUGGGGGAAACCCUGACGCAGCAACGCCGCGUGGGUGAUGAAGGCCUUCGGGUCGUAAAGCCCUGUCAGGUGGGAAGAAACUUGUGGAUGUUAAUACCAUCCAUGCUUGACGGUACCACCGGAGGAAGCACCGGCUAACUCCGUGCCAGCAGCCGCGGUAAUACGGAGGGUGCAAGCGUUGUUCGGAAUUAUUGGGCGUAAAGCGCGUGUAGGUGGUCGUGUAAGUCAGAUGUGAAAGUCUUCUGCUUAACAGAAGAAGGGCAUUUGAAACUGCUCGACUAGAGUACGGGAGAGGAGAGUGGAAUUCCCGGUGUAGAGGUGAAAUUCGUAGAUAUCGGGAGGAACACCAGUGGCGAAGGCGGCUCUCUGGUCCGAUACUGACACUGAGACGCGAAAGCGUGGGGAGCAAACAGGAUUAGAUACCCUGGUAGUCCACGCCGUAAACGAUGGGCACUAGGUGUAGGAGGUAUUGACCCCUUCUGUGCCGAAGCUAACGCAUUAAGUGCCCCGCCUGGGGAGUACGGCCGCAAGGCUAAAACUCAAAGGAAUUGACGG
rnacentral:rRNA from 1 species